UACGUAGGGGGGCAAGCGUUGUCCGGAUUUAUUGGGCGUAAAGAGCGUGUAGGCGGCCUGACAGGUCUGCUGUGAAAACUCGAGGCUCAACCUCGAGAUGUCGGCGGAAACCGUCUGGCUAGAGUCCGGGAAGAGGAGAGUGGAAUUCCUGGUGUAGCGGUGAAAUGCGCAGAUAUCAGGAAGAACACCUAUGGCGAAGGCAGCUCUCUGGGACGGUACUGACGC
rnacentral:rRNA from 1 species